rnacentral:rRNA from 1 species
CCUACGGGUGGCUGCAGUGGGGAAUAUUGGACAAUGGGGGGAACCCUGAUCCAGCCAUGCCGCGUGUGUGAAGAAGGCCCUCGGGUUGUAAAGCACUUUCAGUGAGGAAGAACGCCUGGUGGUUAAUACCCAUCAGGAAAGACAUCACUCACAGAAGAAGCACCGGCUAACUCCGUGCCAGCAGCCGCGGUAAUACGGAGGGUGCGAGCGUUAAUCGGAAUUACUGGGCGUAAAGCGCGCGUAGGUGGCUUGAUAAGCCGGUUGUGAAAGCCCCGGGCUCAACCUGGGAACGGCAUCCGGAACUGUCAAGCUAGAGUGCAGGAGAGGAAGGUAGAAUUCCCGGUGUAGCGGUGAAAUGCGUAGAGAUCGGGAGGAAUACCAGUGGCGAAGGCGGCCUUCUGGACUGACACUGACACUGAGGUGCGAAAGCGUGGGUAGCAAACAGGAUUAGAUACUCCUGUAGUC